rnacentral:tRNA from 3 species
UCCUUGUUAGCUCAGUUGGUAGAGCGUUCGGCUUUUAGAAACAAGGUACCGAAAUGUCAGGGGUUCGAGCCCCCUAUGAGGAG